rnacentral:piRNA from 1 species
AUUAAACAUGAGCAAGUGACCUU